AUGAAGCUGUUCCUGGGAGUUAUUUUGGUGAUUUUGUGGCUUCCAGUGGACUGGGUAAACAGCCAAAAGAUGGAACAGAAUCCACAGUCCCUGAGCAUCCAGGAGGGUGAGAAGGCUGUGCUGAGCUGUAACUAUACGAAUUACUCUCCAGAGGUCUUCCAGUGGUACCGACAAGAUCUGGGAAGGAGCCUUGUCUUCUUGCUACUAAUACGUGAAAAUGAGGGUGAAAAACAGACAGGAAGACUGAGGGCCACCUUUGAUAAGACCAUCAAACAGAGUUCCUUAUAUAUCACGAAAUCCCAGCCUGCAGACUCUGCCACCUACGUCUGUGCUGCCGACACACAGCAGGACCCUGCCACCUGCUUCCUGCGCCCAAACUCUGCCAGCAACCCGGUCAACAGAGCUGCUGGCUGUGCUGACCUCAAGGGCUUGCCCCGGCUCCAGGCAUUUAAGUGGGGGCCCCUUGAAAGGAUUAAAGGGUGUGAGCCAGAGCCCUGGAUUGACCACGAGCUGGGGGGAUCUAUCUUGCAGCCUCGGAUUCUCUCACUGCUGAUACAACCCUGUGACUUUGAGCAACUCCUGAGGUUCACAGGUCUCAGUUGCCUCAUCGGAACAUGA